AAAACCCCUGACGUGUGCAAUAGCAAUAAUGAAAGAAGGUUUGUGAUGACAGGUCCUGGAAUGUGUUCAAGGAGAUCAGAGAUAGGAACAGAGUGAUGUCACAGAAGAUUUCUUCCCCACCUGGAGUGGAACAAUGCUGGAGCCUUACAAAAUGGAUGGACAGUGAAUAGACCACUGCUAGGAUGGAAAGAACCCUCAAGCAAAGGUUUCAGCAGAGGCAGAGUCUUGGAGUCUAGCCUGACUAUGGGCAUAAUUUUUAUAAGCUGCUGUAACUCCUUUUUCAAGCAAGGUGGUAUCUAAACGUGUGUCUGCUGGUCCAGCCCAUUUGCACAGCAGCUGGACAAGAGAAGCUCUCCAGUCUCUCCUCCAGCGAAACCUUGGCAUCACCAUCACAGAUUCUCCAAAUCCAUCCUUCCAGGCCUAAGCUGAUGUCACCUUUCCUGUAAACCAUUCCCUAGCUUUUCCUGAGUGAUCUGGAUGCUUCAGAGUUGUGACCUGGCAUGAUGUCAUUAAGCUGCCACCUGUGGAAAGGCAGGUUACACCAGGUGAGGCUGACCAAGGCCCACGCAAGCGCUCUUGAGUUCCACAGAUGGAGAUAAGUGAUUUCCUUCCUGAAGGAAGACCAUGCUCCUUCCCCGACUUCCAGUUGAUCCCAGAGUGAGAUCUGGUUGUUAUCCAAACUUUGUCAUCCUACCCCCUUGGUGAAGGGACUGUCAGAACAGUGGCCCAC